CAUCCUCUAAUAUAUGGUUCUAUUAAAGGACCGUGGGGUACAUAUUCAUGUACAUGACAUCUAAACCGCUUCGGAUCCUAAUAACAAAAAAGUAAGAAAAUACAAUUAGAAGAAGAAAUACAAACUCAACAAACACACAUCUAUAAGAGUAUUCCAAAAAUAGAAACUAAAAAGAGAGAGAUUACAAAGGUAUAACACAAAGAAGAUAUCUAUUAGAAAUAAUCCAAAAAUAGAAACCAAAAAGAGAGAGACAACAAAGGUAUAACACAAAAAAGAUAUGUAUUAGAAGUAAUUCAAAAAUAGAAACUCAAAAGAGAGACAUAACAAAUGUAUAACACAAAAAAGAUAUAUAUAAG
rnacentral:lncRNA from 1 species